GACCGUUGGAUGGUAAUGAAAUUUUAGGAUGUUGUCCUAGAGGUAUAUUGUGGACCUCUGGAAGUUAUGGAUUUAAAAUCUGAGUUGCAGAUCUUCCGGAUCGAUCUACGUAGUGACGUAUUUUAUAUAAGUUAUAUUCUAUCGAUAUGAUUUCUGAGGUUGGAUUUGAUUAUUGUUCUAGGCGACCAUCGUCAUGACGCCUUGAUGUGUUGUGCUAGGGAGUUGUAGGGCGAACUCCAGGUGAGUGGGCAGUUUUGUUUUCGUAUUACCUAUAUACUAUUGAGUUUUCCCAGAAAUUGAAUUUAAAUGAAAGUAUGAUUUAAAAUGCCAUGGAUAGAUUUAUAUGAAAAGUAUGAUUUGAAAUGCCAUGCAUAGAAGUAUAUGAAAAGCAUGAAUUGAUGUAUGAUGCAUAUAUAUAUGUGAAUUGGUGCUGUGGACGCACAUGUAAGUAUUAGGUGAGUUUUAUAUUAUUCAUGUGCAUUGUUGAUGUGUAU
rnacentral:lncRNA from 1 species